GACGAACGCUGGCGGCGUGCUUAACACAUGCAAGUCGAACGGUAAGGCCCUUCGGGGUACACGAGUGGCGAACGGGUGAGUAACACGUGGGUGAUCUGCCCUGCACUUUGGGAUAAGCCUGGGAAACUGGGUCUAAUACCGAAUAUGACCGCAUCCUGCAUGGGGUGUGGUGGAAAGCUUUUGCGGUGUGGGAUGGGCCCGCGGCCUAUCAGCUUGUUGGUGGGGUGAUGGCCUACCAAGGCGACGACGGGUAGCCGGCCUGAGAGGGUGACCGGCCACACUGGGACUGAGAUACGGCCCAGACUCCUACGGGAGGCAGCAGUGGGGAAUAUUGCACAAUGGGCGCAAGCCUGAUGCAGCGACGCCGCGUGGGGGAUGACGGCCUUCGGGUUGUAAACCUCUUUCAGUAGGGACGAAGCGCAAGUGACGGUACCUAUAGAAGAAGGACCGGCCAACUACGUGCCAGCAGCCGCGGUAAUACGUAGGGUCCGAGCGUUGUCCGGAAUUACUGGGCGUAAAGAGCUCGUAGGUGGUUUGUCACGUUGUUCGUGAAAACCCACAACUCAAUUGUGGGCGUGCGGGCGAUACGGGCAGACUAGAGUACUGCAGGGGAGACUGGAAUUCCUGGUGUAGCGGUGGAAUGCGCAGAU
rnacentral:rRNA from 1 species